rnacentral:rRNA from 1 species
AGAGUUUGAUCCUGGCUCAGAUUGAACGCUGGCGGCAUGCCUUACACAUGCAAGUCGAACGGCAGCACGGGGGCAACCCUGGUGGCGAGUGGCGAACGGGUGAGUAAUACAUCGGAACGUGUCCUGGAGUGGGGGAUAGCCCGGCGAAAGCCGGAUUAAUACCGCAUACGCUCUACGGAGGAAAGGGGGGGAUCUUCGGACCUCCCGCUACAGGGGCGGCCGAUGGCAGAUUAGCUAGUUGGUGGGGUAAAGGCCUACCAAGGCGACGAUCUGUAGCUGGUCUGAGAGGACGACCAGCCACACUGGGACUGAGACACGGCCCAGACUCCUACGGGAGGCAGCAGUGGGGAAUUUUGGACAAUGGGCGCAAGCCUGAUCCAGCAAUGCCGCGUGUGUGAAGAAGGCCUUCGGGUUGUAAAGCACUUUUGUCCGGAAAGAAAACUUCCUGGUUAAUACCCGGGGAGGAUGACGGUACCGGAAGAAUAAGCACCGGCUAACUACGUGCCAGCAGCCGCGGUAAUACGUAGGGUGCAAGCGUUAAUCGGAAUUACUGGGCGUAAAGCGUGCGCAGGCGGUCCGCUAAGACAGAUGUGAAAUCCCCGGGCUUAACCUGGGAACUGCAUUUGUGACUGGCGGGCUAGAGUAUGGCAGAGGGGGGUAGAAUUCCACGUAGCAGUGAAAUGCGUAGAGAUGUGGAGGAAUACCGAUGGCGAAGGCAGCCCCCUGGGCCAAUACUGACGCUCAUGCACGAAAGCGUGGGGAGCAAACAGGAUUAGAUACCCCGGUAGUCC